AGGACCUACCAGUUUGCUCUGCUCAUCCUUGAUCGGGAUGAGACGGAUACCCUGAGAGACGCAACAGAAUCAGGUCCUGGGAUUGUGUUAGCAGAAUGACGGGAGUAUGAGAUCCACCACGUGGCGAGGAACCCCAGGAACCUGCUUUCUUCUUGAAGAGCAACUGAGAACUAUUCCCAAGUUAUCCUUCACUUUGAUCCAGGCAAUGAUCAGGUGGAGUAAAACAUAAGGAAGAGCAUCUUUUUGGUUCAAAGGAUGAAAAAAAUUGGGACAACAUGGAAGUGUCUGAUUUCUGCCUGGGCUGAGGAUUCAGAAGAAGAUGUGUGGAACACAGCCUGGAAACCUGGUUGAUGAAUUCCACCGCAAGUAGUGGAAGAAACACACCUACAACAUGAGCAGAGAAGAUUUUUCUUCUGUACUUUCCAGGACUCGAAGCUGCUUUGUUUUUUGGUUGUUGGGUGGGGAAGGAGGAACAAUAGUGUAGCUUCCAGAAGACAGAAGAGAGUUAUUUCUUGAGUGUGAAUUAAGCAGUACCAAGAGACCUCAAACUAGCUCUCUCUCCUGAUAGAAAUUUUACUGUUAAGAGUUUUUCUUUAGGUUUAAAACCUUGAAAGCUCCAUAAUGCUCCUGAGUAGAACAAUAAAGCCAUUAGUAGUCAAUGGUUUUCUUUAAUAUUUUUCUUCCAUUUCAAUUUUAGUUCUAAUUUUAUCUGACUCCUACAAACACGUUUCAUAUUCUCAUGAGGACUGGGCCCAUAUGUGUAAAUGGUUCAAACAUCUUAAUUUGUUGACUGAACUAGUCUAAAUAGUCAAAUUUUUUUUCAGGCAAAAGUGAAUUUCAUCAAAUUCGUUGACCCACCAUUUCUUAAAUUCAUCACUGAUUGAUUAU